UUCGCGCCUGGGCCCUGCAUUUUUCUCCGAGGUGCUUUGUAAAAGGGACUAUUCCUUCAUCUCGGGGAAAUUUUGCAUCAUGGCUCCCCUUUCUGCUUUUCACGGGCAUCGUCUGCCCUCUCCAUGAGACGAACUUCCGAAGCCCCCUCGCUCUCGGCUCGGAGUCCGAACACGAAUGAGUUUGGGGAUUUCGGAGACCCUGUCCCGCUUCUAGCUGAAUUGGGGUGUCCCCUGACUAGAGCACACUUGGGCAAACUUCUCCAUACACGGACCAGGAACGCAGCCCCCGAGAAAGAAUUCUUCACGGCCGCUGCCCCCAGCUUUCGAGACUGCGCCUCUUGUUCCCCAGAAAACCUCGUUUGGGAUAAUGUCUCGCCAUUCCCACCUCACCAUCCCCAGUUCUGAAUCUUCCUUAGGCGAAGGUCAUCUCCGAGAAUGCGACUUCGGUGUUGACGUCAUUUUAGCUGCCGCAUCACUUCCACGGUGCACCUCUUGUCUGUCCCAGAGGAUGGCAGCGAUUUAAGAGUUGUCUCCCUGGCCACAAGCCCCUGGCUCCCACCCCAUGAUGGCUUCUCCAGCUUUGUUUUUUUCUUUAAUAGAUGAAGAAAGAGAGUUUAUCCUGACAGAACAGAGAGAUCUCUGGAACGAGUGAUGGAAGGGCCCUAAGAACAGACAUUUCCUUCUUAAGUUGAGUUAGCAAAUAUUACUAACCAAACUGUGUGCCCCCCCAAACCCCCCCAUAAUUUGAGAAAUUGGAAUAAGCAAAUUAAGAUGUUGGGAUGAGAACUGUUAUCUGAGUUAUGUAACAUCUUGCUCUUACCCAUCGUAAAGCCAAUGAAGCUCAGUUUCUAACAUGCCCACUCUCAUAACUUCCCAAAUGUGCUAUUUUUGUAAUUAUAAAAUUGUCCUUCCCUGAGGUAGUAUAGGCUGAGGGGGAAUGAAAGGUGAUAAUGUUGUGACCACUCUCGGGUGGUUAGACAGGUACUGAUGCCUAGGGACAGGUAACAAAAUCUGAUGUAGCAGGCAAGCUUACAUAGCUGUAUGUAAAGCAGCCCAGGGAAUAGAGCCUGGAUAAUAGGACUCAGGUAGGCCACAUGCACGUCCCUUGUUGUAAAUGCUUUUGCAAUAUUUUAAAUAAAUAUGAGCAGCUAAUUUUCCCAGUAAGAAACUGUCCUGUAGGGUGACAAUAGCAGAGUUGAGUUGGCAGCAUGCUUUGCUUUGCUUUUCUUUUCUUUUAAAGAUCCAAGUGAAACAGCUGUGGCAGCAGUCAAGAAAGCUUGAGCAGCCCAUGUUUGAGAGAGGAACCCCUGCACAGCCUUAGAGAAGACCUUGAAGAGACGAUGUCAGAGAAGGAGGUUUGUGAGGACCCAGUUAAAGGAAGCAGUUUACGGCUUCUCUUUGGCGUAUCCAAAUUGUCAGCAUCAUUACUCUUGCACUUUGAGGCCGUUAUUAAAUAAAAUAAGGGUGACUUGAACACCAGCACUGUGACACCACGACAGAAGAUCUGAGAACCCAGACAGCUACUAAGGAACUAACAGGCGGGUAGCGUAUACAGUGUGGAUCCAAUGGACAAGAGGGUGAUUCAUGUCUGUCCCCGGCAGGACAGAGUGUGAUAACUGGAGAUUUCAUAACACUGCUCAGAACGGUGCACAAUUUGAAACUUAUGAAUUGUUCAUUUCUGGAAUUUUCCACUUAAUAUUUUUGGAGCUCAUUGACUGCACGUAACUGAAACCGCAGAAAGGGAAACCGCUUUACGGCAACAUCAUGUUGCCAGUACAAACGUUCACUGCAGCAGGCCAUGAAAGGAAAGGCUGAGAGAUGAGGCUAUGUAAUAUUAGCAAUGUCUGCCUGUCAAAAGAUCAUUAAAAUAUUUAAAAAGCAAACUGGAAAAAUAUUCAUUAUGUGUGACAAGAGUUCUUACAAAUGAAGAAGAAAAUUUAAUAGAAAGAUGAGCAAAAGGCUUGAAUGGAGAACUCCUAAAAGAAAUUGUCACUAAAUCUAUGGAAAAAAUAUUCUCAGCUUCACACUAAAAAGUUAAAAUGGGGGCCGGCCCCGUGGCUGAGUGGUUAAGUUCGCGCGCUCCACUGCAGGCGGCCCAGCGUUUCGUUGGUUCGA